GUGCGGCGUGCCUAAUACAUGCAAGUAGAACGCUGAAGAGAGGAGCUUGCUCUUCUUGGAUGAGUUGCGAACGGGUGAGUAACGCGUAGGUAACCUGCCUUGUAGCGGGGGAUAACUAUUGGAAACGAUAGCUAAUACCGCAUAACAAUGGAUGACACAUGUCAUUUAUUUGAAAGGGGCAAUUGCUCCACUACAAGAUGGACCUGCGUUGUAUUAGCUAGUAGGUGAGGUAACGGCUCACCUAGGCGACGAUACAUAGCCGACCUGAGAGGGUGAUCGGCCACACUGGGACUGAGACACGGCCCAGACUCCUACGGGAGGCAGCAGUAGGGAAUCUUCGGCAAUGGGGGCAACCCUGACCGAGCAACGCCGCGUGAGUGAAGAAGGUUUUCGGAUCGUAAAGCUCUGUUGUAAGUCAAGAACGAGUGUGAGAGUGGAAAGUUCACACUGUGACGGUAGCUUACCAGAAAGGGACGGCUAACUACGUGCCAGCAGCCGCGGUAAUACGUAGGUCCCGAGCGUUGUCCGGAUUUAUUGGGCGUAAAGCGAGCGCAGGCGGUUUGAUAAGUCUGAAGUUAAAGGCUGUGGCUCAACCAUAGUUCGCUUUGGAAACUGUCAAACUUGAGUGCAGAAGGGGAGAGUGGAAUUCCAUGUGUAGCGGUGAAAUGCGUAGAUAUAUGGAGGAACACCGGUGGCGAAAGCGGCUCUCUGGUCUGUAACUGACGCUGAGGCUCGAAAGCGUGGGGAGCGAACAGGAUUAGAUACCCUGGUAGUCCACGCCGUAAACGAUGAGUGCUAGGUGUUGGAUCCUUUCCGGGAUUCAGUGCCGCAGCUAACGCAUUAAGCACUCCGCCUGGGGAGUACGACCGCAAGGUUGAAACUCAAAGGAAUUGACGGGGGCCCGCACAAGCGGUGGAGCAUGUGGUUUAAUUCGAAGCAACGCGAAGAACCUUACCAGGUCUUGACAUCCCGAUGCUAUUUCUAGAGAUAGAAAGUUACUUCGGUACAUCGGUGACAGGUGGUGCAUGGUUGUCGUCAGCUCGUGUCGUGAGAUGUUGGGUUAAGUCCCGCAACGAGCGCAACCCCUAUUGUUAGUUGCCAUCAUUCAGUUGGGCACUCUAGCGAGACUGCCGGUAAUAAACCGGAGGAAGGUGGGGAUGACGUCAAAUCAUCAUGCCCCUUAUGACCUGGGCUACACACGUGCUACAAUGGUUGGUACAACGAGUUGCGAGUCGGUGACGGCAAGCUAAUCUCUUAAAGCCAAUCUCAGUUCGGAUUGUAGGCUGCAACUCGCCUACAUGAAGUCGGAAUCGCUAGUAAUCGCGGAUCAGCACGCCGCGGUGAAUACGUUCCCGGGCCUUGUACACACCGCCCGUCACACCACGAGAGUUUGUAACACCCGAAGUCGGUGAGGUAACCUUUUGGAGCCAGCCGCCUAAGGUGGGAUAGAUGAUUGGGGUG
rnacentral:rRNA from 1 species